GGUUAAGCGACUAAGCGUACACGGUGGAUGCCACGGCAGUCAGAGGCGAUGAAGGACGUGCUAAUCUGCGAUAAGCGUCGGUAAGGUGAUAUGAACCGUUAUAACCGGCGAUUUCCGAAUGGGGAAACCCAGUGUGUUUCGACACACUAUCAUUAACUGAAUCCAUAGGUUAAUGAGGCGAACCGGGGAACUGAAACAUCUAAGUACCCCGAGGAAAAGAAAUCAACCGAGAUUCCCCAGUAGCGGCGAGCGAACGGGGAGCAGCCCAGAGCCUGAAUCAGUGUGUGUGUUAGUGGAAGCGUCUGGAAAGGCGUGCGAUACAGGGUGACAGCCCCGUACACAAAAAUGCACAUGCUGUGAGCUCGAUGAGUAGGGCGGGACACGUGGUAUCCUGUCUGAAUAUGGGGGACCAUCCUCCAAGGCUAAAUACUCCUGACUGACCGAUAGUGAACCAGUACCGUGAGGGAAAGGCGAAAAGAACCCCGGCGAGGGGAGUGAAAAAGAACCUGAAACCGUGUACGUACAAGCAGUGGGAGCACGCUUAGGCGUGUGACUGCGUACCUUUUGUAUAAUGGGUCAGCGACUUAUAUUCUGUAGCAAGGUUAACCGAAUAGGGGAGCCGAAGGGAAACCGAGUCUUAACUGGGCGUUAAGUUGCAGGGUAUAGACCCGAAACCCGGUGAUCUAGCCAUGGGCAGGUUGAAGGUUGGGUAACACUAACUGGAGGACCGAACCGACUAAUGUUGAAAAAUUAGCGGAUGACUUGUGGCUGGGGGUGAAAGGCCAAUCAAACCGGGAGAUAGCUGGUUCUCCCCGAAAGCUAUUUAGGUAGCGCCUCGUGAAUUCAUCUCCGGGGUAGAGCACUGUUUCGGCAAGGGGGUCAUCCCGACUUACCAACCCGAUGCAAACUGCGAAUACCGGAGAAUGUUAUCACGGGAGACACACGGCGGGUGCUAACGUCCGUCGUGAAGAGGGAAACAACCCAGACCGCCAGCUAAGGUCCCAAAGUCAUGGUUAAGUGGGAAACGAUGUGGGAAGGCCCAGACAGCCGGGAUGUUGGCUUAGAAGCAGCCAUCAUUUAAAGAAAGCGUAAUAGCUCACUGGUCGAGUCGGCCUGCGCGGAAGAUGUAACGGGGCUAAACCAUGCACCGAAGCUGCGGCAGCGACGCUGAUGCGUUGUUGGGUAGGGGAGCGUUCUGUAAGCCUGCGAAGGUGUGCUGUGAGGCAUGCUGGAGGUAUCAGAAGUGCGAAUGCUGACAUAAGUAACGAUAAAGCGGGUGAAAAGCCCGCUCGCCGGAAGACCAAGGGUUCCUGUCCAACGUUAAUCGGGGCAGGGUGAGUCGACCCCUAAGGCGAGGCCGAAAGGCGUAGUCGAUGGGAAACAGGUUAAUAUUCCUGUACUUGGUGUUACUGCGAAGGGGGACGGAGAAGGCUAUGUUGGCCGGGCGACGGUUGUCCCGGUUUAAGCGUGUAGGCUGGUUUUCCGGGCAAAUCCGGAAAAUCAAGGCUGAGGCGUGAUGACGAGGCACUACGGUGCUGAAGCAACAAAUGCCCUGCUUCCGGGAAAAGCCUCUAAGCAUCAGGUAACAUCAAAUCGUACCCCAAACCGACACAGGUGGUCAGGUAGAGAAUACCAAGGCGCUUGAGAGAACUCGGGUGAAGGAACUAGGCAAAAUGGUGCCGUAACUUCGGGAGAAGGCACGCUGAUAUGUAGGUGAAGCGACUUGCUCGUGGAGCUGAAAUCAGUCGAAGAUACCAGCUGGCUGCAACUGUUUAUUAAAAACACAGCACUGUGCAAACACGAAAGUGGACGUAUACGGUGUGACGCCUGCCCGGUGCCGGAAGGUUAAUUGAUGGGGUUAGCGCAAGCGAAGCUCUUGAUCGAAGCCCCGGUAAACGGCGGCCGUAACUAUAACGGUCCUAAGGUAGCGAAAUUCCUUGUCGGGUAAGUUCCGACCUGCACGAAUGGCGUAAUGAUGGCCGGGCUGUCUCCACCCGAGACUCAGUGAAAUUGAACUCGCUGUGAAGAUGCAGUGUACCCGCGGCAAGACGGAAAGACCCCGUGAACCUUUACUAUAGCUUGACACUGAACAUUGAGCCUUGAUGUGUAGGAUAGGUGGGAGGCUUUGAAGUGUGGACGCCAGUCUGCAUGGAGCCGACCUUGAAAUACCACCCUUUAAUGUUUGAUGUUCUAACGUGGACCCGUAAUCCGGGUUGCGGACAGUGUCUGGUGGGUAGUUUGACUGGGGCGGUCUCCUCCUAAAGAGUAACGGAGGAGCACGAAGGUUGGCUAAUCCUGGUCGGACAUCAGGAGGUUAGUGCAAUGGCAUAAGCCAGCUUGACUGCGAGCGUGACGGCGCGAGCAGGUGCGAAAGCAGGUCAUAGUGAUCCGGUGGUUCUGAAUGGAAGGGCCAUCGCUCAACGGAUAAAAGGUACUCCGGGGAUAACAGGCUGAUACCGCCCAAGAGUUCAUAUCGACGGCGGUGUUUGGCACCUCGAUGUCGGCUCAUCACAUCCUGGGGCUGAAGUAGGUCCCAAGGGUAUGGCUGUUCGCCAUUUAAAGUGGUACGCGAGCUGGGUUUAGAACGUCGUGAGACAGUUCGGUCCCUAUCUGCCGUGGGCGCUGGAGAACUGAGGGGGCUGCUCCUAGUACGAGAGGACCGGAGUGGACGCAUCACUGGUGUUCGGGUUGUCAUGCCAAUGGCACUGCCCGGUAGCUAAAUGCGGAAGAGAUAAGUGCUGAAAGCAUCUAAGCACGAAACUUGCCCCGAGAUGAGUUCUCCCUGACUCCUUGAGAGUCCUGAAGGAACGUUGAAGACGACGACGUUGAUAGGCCGGGUGUGUAAGCGCAGCGAUGCGUUGAGCUAACCGGUACUAAUGAACCGUGAGGCUUAACCUU
rnacentral:rRNA from 1 species